rnacentral:rRNA from 1 species
GACGAACGCUGGCGGCGUGCUUAACACAUGCAAGUCGAACGGAAAGGCCCUGCUUGCAGGGUACUCGAGUGGCGAACGGGUGAGUAACACGUGGGUGAUCUGCCCUGCACUUCGGGAUAAGCCUGGGAAACUGGGUCUAAUACCGGAUAGGAGCCAUUUUUAGUGUGAUGGUUGGAAAGUUUUUUCGGUGUAGGAUGAGCUCGCGGCCUAUCAGCUUGUUGGUGGGGUAAUGGCCUACCAAGGCGGCGACGGGUAGCCGGCCUGAGAGGGUGGACGGCCACAUUGGGACUGAGAUACGGCCCAGACUCCUACGGGAGGCAGCAGUGGGGAAUAUUGCACAAUGGGCGCAAGCCUGAUGCAGCGACGCCGCGUGGAGGAUGACGGCCUUCGGGUUGUAAACUCCUUUCGCUAGGGACGAAGCUUUUUGUGACGGUACCUAGAUAAGAAGCACCGGCUAACUACGUG